rnacentral:rRNA from 1 species
AGAUUAAGUUAUUAAGGGCGCACGGUGGAUGCCUUGGCACUAGAAGCCGAUGAAGGACGUUACUAACGACGAUAUGCUUUGGGGAGCUGUAAGUAAGCUUUGAUCCAGAGAUUUCCGAAUGGGGAAACCCAGCAUGAGUUAUGUCAUGUUAUCCAUAUGUGAAUACAUAGCAUAUCAGAAGGCAUACCCGGAGAACUGAAACAUCUUAGUACCCGGAGGAAGAGAAAGAAAAUUCGAUUCCCUUAGUAGCGGCGAGCGAAACGGGAAGAGCCCAAACCAACAAGCUUGCUUGUUGGGGUUGUAGGACACUCUAUACGGAGUUACAAAGGACGACAUUAGACGAAUCAUCUGGAAAGAUGAAUCAAAGAAGGUAAUAAUCCUGUAGUCGAAAAUGUUGUCUCUCUUGAGUGGAUCCUGAGUACGACGGAGCACGUGAAAUUCCGUCGGAAUCUGGGAGGACCAUCUCCUAAGGCUAAAUACUCUCUAGUGACCGAUAGUGAACCAGUACCGUGAGGGAAAGGUGAAAAGCACCCCGGAAGGGGAGUGAAAUAGAACCUGAAACCGUGUGCUUACAAGUAGUCAGAGCCCGUUAAUGGGUGAUGGCGUGCCUUUUGUAGAAUGAACCGGCGAGUUACGAUUUGAUGCAAGGUUAAGCAGUAAAUGUGGAGCCGUAGCGAAAGCGAGUCUGAAUAGGGCGUUUAGUAUUUGGUCGUAGACCCGAAACCAGGUGAUCUACCCUUGGUCAGGUUGAAGUUCAGGUAACACUGAAUGGAGGACCGAACCGACUUACGUUGAAAAGUGAGCGGAUGAACUGAGGGUAGCGGAGAAAUUCCAAUCGAACCUGGAGAUAGCUGGUUCUCUCCGAAAUAGCUUUAGGGCUAGCCUCAAGUGAUGAUUAUUGGAGGUAGAGCACUGUUUGGACGAGGGGCCCCUCUCGGGUUACCGAAUUCAGACAAACUCCGAAUGCCAAUUAAUUUAACUUGGGAGUCAGAACAUGGGUGAUAAGGUCCGUGUUCGAAAGGGAAACAGCCCAGACCACCAGCUAAGGUCCCAAAAUAUAUGUUAAGUGGAAAAGGAUGUGGCGUUGCCCAGACAACUAGGAUGUUGGCUUAGAAGCAGCCAUCAUUUAAAGAGUGCGUAAUAGCUCACUAGUCGAGUGACACUGCGCCGAAAAUGUACCGGGGCUAAACAUAUUACCGAAGCUGUGGAUUGUCCUUUGGACAAUGGUAGGAGAGCGUUCUAAGGGCGUUGAAGCAUGAUCGUAAGGACAUGUGGAGCGCUUAGAAGUGAGAAUGCCGGUGUGAGUAGCGAAAGACGGGUGAGAAUCCCGUCCACCGAUUGACUAAGGUUUCCAGAGGAAGGCUCGUCCGCUCUGGGUUAGUCGGGUCCUAAGCUGAGGCCGACAGGCGUAGGCGAUGGAUAACAGGUUGAUAUUCCUGUACCACCUAUAAUCGUUUUAAUCGAUGGGGGACGCAGUAGGAUAGGCGAAGCGUGCGAUUGGAUUGCACGUCUAAGCAGUAAGGCUGAGUAUUAGGCAAAUCCGGUACUCGUUAAGGCUGAGCUGUGAUGGGGAGAAGACAUUGUGUCUUCGAGUCGUUGAUUUCACACUGCCGAGAAAAGCCUCUAGAUAGAAAAUAGGUGCCCGUACCGCAAACCGACACAGGUAGUCAAGAUGAGAAUUCUAAGGUGAGCGAGCGAACUCUCGUUAAGGAACUCGGCAAAAUGACCCCGUAACUUCGGGAGAAGGGGUGCUCUUUAGGGUUAACGCCCAGAAGAGCCGCAGUGAAUAGGCCCAAGCGACUGUUUAUCAAAAACACAGGUCUCUGCUAAACCGUAAGGUGAUGUAUAGGGGCUGACGCCUGCCCGGUGCUGGAAGGUUAAGAGGAGUGGUUAGCUUCUGCGAAGCUACGAAUCGAAGCCCCAGUAAACGGCGGCCGUAACUAUAACGGUCCUAAGGUAGCGAAAUUCCUUGUCGGGUAAGUUCCGACCCGCACGAAAGGCGUAACGAUUUGGGCACUGUCUCAACGAGAGACUCGGUGAAAUCAUAGUACCUGUGAAGAUGCAGGUUACCCGCGACAGGACGGAAAGACCCCGUGGAGCUUUACUGUAGCCUGAUAUUGAAAUUCGGCACAGCUUGUACAGGAUAGGUAGGAGCCUUUGAAACGUGAGCGCUAGCUUACGUGGAGGCGCUGGUGGGAUACUACCCUAGCUGUGUUGGCUUUCUAACCCGCACCACUUAUCGUGGUGGGAGACAGUGUCAGGCGGGCAGUUUGACUGGGGCGGUCGCCUCCUAAAAGGUAACGGAGGCGCUCAAAGGUUCCCUCAGAAUGGUUGGAAAUCAUUCAUAGAGUGUAAAGGCAUAAGGGAGCUUGACUGCGAGACCUACAAGUCGAGCAGGGUCGAAAGACGGACUUAGUGAUCCGGUGGUUCCGCAUGGAAGGGCCAUCGCUCAACGGAUAAAAGCUACCCCGGGGAUAACAGGCUUAUCUCCCCCAAGAGUUCACAUCGACGGGGAGGUUUGGCACCUCGAUGUCGGCUCAUCGCAUCCUGGGGCUGUAGUCGGUCCCAAGGGUUGGGCUGUUCGCCCAUUAAAGCGGUACGCGAGCUGGGUUCAGAACGUCGUGAGACAGUUCGGUCCCUAUCCGUCGUGGGCGUAGGAAAUUUGAGAGGAGCUGUCCUUAGUACGAGAGGACCGGGAUGGACAUACCUCUGGUGUACCAGUUGUCGUGCCAACGGCAUAGCUGGGUAGCUAUGUGUGGACGGGAUAAGUGCUGAAAGCAUCUAAGCAUGAAGCCCCCCUCAAGAUGAGAUUUCCCAACUUCGGUUAUAAGAUCCCUCAAAGAUGAUGAGGUUAAUAGGUUCGAGGUGGAAGCAUGGUGACAUGUGGAGCUGACGAAUACUAAUCGAUCGAAGACUUAAUCAAAUU